AUUAGAGGUCUGGUCUGCCCAGUGUAAAAAAUUAACGGCCGCGGUAUCCUGACUGUGCAAAGGUAGCAUAAUCACUUGCCCUUUAAAUGGGGGAAUGUAUGAAUGAUUAGACGAGGUUUUGACUGUCUUUUUUCUAAAAACUGAGAUUUCAGUACCUGUGAAAAUGCGGGUGAAAUCAUAAUGGACGAGAAGACCCUGUUGAGCUUUUAAGUUAUACAGCAGUAUGAAUUAAAUUAGAUAAUUCAUUAUUUAUAAAAUACACAUAUCUGGUAAGCUUUUUGGCUGGGGUGGCAAGCAAAGGAAUUAAGCUUUGUUUAUCAAUUGAAAUCUUAAUGUUUGGAGACAGUAUAUGUCAAUAAACUUAAUUUGGAUCCGCUAACUGAGCGAUUAAUAGAAUAAGUUACCACAGGGAUAACAGCGUUAUUCUUCUUGAGAGCUCGUAUUGACAGAGGAGUUUGCGACCUCGAUGUUGGAUCAAGAUUCCUGGUGGUGUAGCAGCUAUUAAGGGUUUGCCUGUUCGGCGAUUAAAAUCU
rnacentral:rRNA from 1 species